UACGAAGGGGGCUAGCGUUGCUCGGAAUUACUGGGCGUAAGGGCGCGUAGGCGGCACUGUUAGUCAGGCGUGAAAGUCCUGGGCUCAACCUGGGAACUGCGCUUGAUACGGCAGAGCUAGAGGAUGGAAGAGGCUCGCGGAAUUCCCAGUGUAGAGGUGAAAUUCGUAGAUAUUGGGAAGAACACCGGUGGCGAAGGCGGCGAGCUGGUCCAUUACUGACGCUGAGGAGCGAAAGCGUGGGGAGCGAACAGG
rnacentral:rRNA from 1 species